rnacentral:rRNA from 1 species
UACGUAGGGUGCGAGCGUUGUCCGGAAUUAUUGGGCGUAAAGAGCUUGUAGGCGGUUUGUCGCGUCUGCUGUGAAAAUCCGGGGCUCAACCCCGGACUUGCAGUGGGUACGGGCAGACUAGAGUGUGGUAGGGGAGACUGGAAUUCCUGGUGUAGCGGUGAAAUGCGCAGAUAUCAGGAGGAACACCGGUGGCGAAGGCGGAUCUCUGGGCCGAUACUGACGUGAGGAGCGAAAGCGUGGGGAGCGAACAGG